rnacentral:rRNA from 1 species
GACGAACGCUGGCGGCGUGCUUAACACAUGCAAGUCGAACGGAAAGGCCCUGCUUUUGUGGGGUGCUCGAGUGGCGAACGGGUGAGUAACACGUGAGUAACCUGCCCUUGUCUUUGGGAUAACUUCAGGAAACUGGGGCUAAUACCGGAUAGGAGCUCCUGCUGCAUGGGGGGGGUUGGAAAGUUUCGGCGGUUGGGGAUGGACUCGCGGCUUAUCAGCUUGUUGGGGGGGUAGUGGCUUACCAAGGCUUUGACGGGUAGCCGGCCUGAGAGGGUGACCGGCCCCAUUGGGCCUGCGAUACGGCCCAGACUCCUACGGGCGGCAGCAGUGGGGAAUAUUGCACAAUGGGCGGAAGCCUGAUGCAGCAACGCCGCGUGCGGGAUGACGGCCUUCGGGUUGUAAACCGCUUUCGCCUGUGACGAAGCGUGAGUGACGGUAAUGGGUAAAGAAGCACCGGCUAACUACGUG